rnacentral:rRNA from 1 species
UCGAACGAGAAGUACAGUAGCAAUACUGUAUUGUAAAGUGGCGCACGGGUGAGUAACACGUGGGUAAUCUGCCCUCGAGUUUGGGAUAACCCCGCGAAAGCGGGGCUAAUACCGGAUAAGACCACGGAGACCAAAGUCUCUGAGGUAAAAGGUGGCCUCUAUUUAUAAGCUACCACUUGAGGAUGAGCCCGCGGCCCAUUAGCUAGUUGGCAGGGUAACGGCCUACCAAGGCAAUGAUGGGUAGCUGGUCUGAGAGGACGAUCAGCCACACUGGAACUGAGACACGGUCCAGACUCCUACGGGAGGCAGCAGUGGGGAAUAUUGCGCAAUGGGCGAAAGCCUGACGCAGCAACGCCGCGUGGGGGAUGAAGGUUCUCGGAUUGUAAACCCCUUUCGAUCGGAACGAAUCCCCUCCUGGUAAAUAAUCAGGAGGAUCAACGGUACCGAGAGAAGAAGCCACGGCUAACUCUGUGCCAGCAGCCGCGGUAAGACAGAGGUGGCUAGCGUUGUUCGGAUUUAUUGGGCGUAAAGCGCACGCAGGCGGUUUGGUAAGUCAGAGGUGAAAGCCCACGGCUUAACCGUGGCAUUGCCUUUGAUACUGCCUUUCUUGAGUAGAGUAGGGGGAAGCGGAAUUCCGAGUGUAGAGGUGAAAUUCGUAGAUAUUCGGAGGAACACCGGUGGCGAAGGCGGCUUCCUGGACUCUAACUGACGCUCAUGUGCGAAAGCGUGGGGAGCAAACAGGAUUAGAUACCCUGGUAGUCCACGCCCUAAACGAUGGGCACUAGGUGUGGGAGGUAUCGACCCCUUCCGUGUCGCAGCU